rnacentral:sRNA from 1 species
CUUAAAGAAGGCCUAAAGACACAUACAUUGUAAAAAAAAGAUGACUGCAAGUCCCUUGUAAUGAAAAGAUAGCAUAGAGACAAUCUUUAGGCAAUCUUAAAUCUUUUUUCAAUAUCAUCCUUAACGCCGAAACUUGAUUAAGCUGUCUUUAAGACAGCUUUUAUACAGAAUAUGACACUCUUUAAUCAUCUUUUAGCUUACUUUUCCGCUAAAAUAAAGUGCAUUUCAUAGCAAUGUAUUAAUUCACUUUCAAAUUACGGGAAAAUAUCUAAGUAUGCCAAAGAUAAAUUAUGAUUGAGACUUCAACGCAUUGCCGUGCACCUGGGUACGAUCGAGGCACACGUGCUGUGUAUUUCUUGUGUACAUUCUGUGUUAGUUCCAGGGGUUUUCUCAAGUUGAUCGAACAAUAGAUUUUGAAUAGAUAUAUACACAUGUACAAUGAAACCAGGUAUUUUUUUUCAGUUCAGUUCAGUUUAUUUCACUCAACACCAUAUAAUGGUACAAGAGGUACAUAAGAAGAACAAACAUAUUUACAUAUAUACAAUAUAGUUGUAAAGUUCAAGAAAGUAAGUGGGGUGAACGAACAAUAUGAUUAAUUUUUGAAAUAAAGAAACACAGUUUUCUUAAUGUGAUAUAAUCGACUGAAGACAUGAUUUCAUAAAACUUUUUAGUGUUAGGAGAAGACCAGUAAUAUGUAUCUAAAAACUGACUUCGUAAUUUACUUAAUGCCUUGCAUUCUAAUAUAACAUGAAAUUCAUCACUAAUUUUGUUACAAUUACACAAAUUACAAUAACGUUUACUUCAAGUAUAGACAGUCACACAAAGCAAUUACUGUAAUUUAACAAGGAACAUUGAGUCAACCUGUACACUCAUUUUGCUAAUCUAUUAUAUGUUUUUGGCAGAUUUAGCAUUUUAUAUAUUAAGAGAAUAAUAAAAUUGAGAA